AGUACUGCGUGGCGCGCAUGCCGCCCUACCGCGGCGGCGGCCCGCCCGGCGCGCUCGACUACAUGGCCUUCUCCACCGCGCUCUACGGCGAGACCGACCUCUAGGCGCAGGUUGAUCGAGUUGCGUCAUGAUCAUCUCAUCGGGAGCAGCCACAGGAUGCCGCGCCGACCGCGAGGCAGACAUGUUUCCCUUACGUUGACGGCGAGCCCUAUCGGUCUGCCAACGUAACGCAAACAUCAUCUGCCGACACGUAAUAUUUAAUACAGUCCUGUAUAAACUUAAGUAUGUGCAAUGUUCAAACCAAAAAUGCCAUUAACUUUCACACCGUUACUCUUCUCCCUAAUGAAUGACUACUGUAAAACUUUUGGCUCAAAUCAGAGAAAUCAUCUGUAGAAUACGUUUUCGACAUCUCUAUUUAUACACUAGUGUUAGGUAUUUUUAACUUUUAUAUGAAAGUCUCAGGGAAGUCACAAAACAUUUAUUUGUAAGAUGGAAAUGGUGCUAAUGUUAGGCUUGACUAAUGUGUGACACCAAAAUAAGACUCAUUCACGUUGUAAGAAUGUUUUUGUUAUAUUUUUUUAUUUAUAAGCAAAAUAUUAUUUAUACAAGUUCAUUUUAAUUACUGCCAUUAGUAAUUUAUAGUACUUCGAUGGUAGGUACGUAAAGUUUUAAGCUGUCUAAAUUCGUAAAUGCAGGGAAGUGUCACACAAAUUAUUUAUAACAUAGAUUGCCAUAGCUUGCCUGCAUCUAUUUAUUUAUCAUUUUUAUAUGAUUAUCGUUUUUGAGAGUAUUUUUGUUUGAGUACUCUAAAUAAAUGAUCUGCCAUAUUUGUCUUUUAAUAAUGACUGUGUUGAUAAUCCAACCAAUAUCGUAUGAGAAAGAUUGGCACAGUAAAUAAGAAUUAAUUAUGUGCCCAAAAAGUAUACUAACUCGAAUGUACAGCUAAUUUAAUAAAAAAGCUCUUAAACACA